GCUAAAAGUGAACACGUAGGAACAGGCAGUCAGUCCACGCACCACCAGGACAGCUGGCCACCUGCACUAGAAUGACAGAGUGAACCUUGGAGUCAGAAAACGCACCAGCGCUGAGCGGGAGAGUUCUCAAGCCAGGGCAAGCCACUAGAAAGAUAUUUGGAAACAGCAAGAAAGAAAAGCUCUCUGCCCACUUCAGCUGCAGGAAGGCCUUGACACCCAUGUUGGAUUCCUUGGACACCCAUGUUGGAUUCCUUGACACCCUGAAGUCCUCCCUGGGGAGAAACAACAGAGACCACAUCUACCCUUCCCAUGCAGAAUGGCCUCACUUGGCUUCCAGGGAACCAUCCACGUGGGUCCUGGGCUCAGCUGGAAUCCUGGACCACAGCUCCCUCUAAGCCUGGGAAAUGGAAUCUUUAGAAGAAUAUAGGAAUCAAUCUUCCUACCUGCUUAGAACCAAAGAACAACCACACAGAAAUGGAUGGCAACCUACUUAUAAUGUCACGGCCUAUGUUACCUCCACGUUUCCCUACAAGGCAGAGCGUACUGAAGGCAAGUGACAGAGAGAUCAAGUUGCUCAUGAUAGACUGCUAUAAAGUGACCACUAAGUGGGCCGCUUCUAGCUGCUCUCAAGAGCUCAGAAAACAGGUAGUGCCAUAGCUGCUUGAAAAUGUGUGUGAGCUACUGAUUCUCACCUAGACUGGUUUCAGGGCUCACACAGAUAAGAAAUAUGACAAUUUCAGGAGCAAGAAAAUUCAGAGGUGAUUAUGCAAGUGAGAAAAAAAUGCAUUUUUUUCUUUUUUUUUUUUUUUUAUGUGUGUGUGUGUGUGUACAGGGAUUGAACUCAGAAGGCCUUUACCACUGAACCACAUUCCCAGACUUUUUAAAAUUUCUUUAUUUUGAGACAGGGUCUCACUAAGUUGUUCCCUAAUUAGCUGAGGCUUGCCUUAAACAUGAGAUCCUCCUGCCCCAGCCUCCUGAGUUGCUAGGAUUACAGGCAUAUGCCACCAUAUCCCAGUACAGCUUUUGAAAAUAUAAGAUUAACCAACCUCUAACUCCAACGAGGCAGCAGCAGAUCUAGAUUUAUAUUUUGCCUUUGAUACUAACAGUGGGUAUACGAACUUGAGGUUAUUACUUAAUAUUCCUGUGACUACUUUUAAAAAGUACAGAGACAAAGGUAGGCGGGUCCUUCUUUGAACUCAGAAAGAGAACUUCAAAGGGAUCGAAGAAGCAUCCCCAGCCAUGAGUUCCAACCGGAAUGGCACUACCAAGUGUUCCCCAGAGGGCAGAUUGCACUUCUCACACUCGUGACCACCCUUCCCUUCUGGCUUGCCACUCCUGACAGAUUAAUCCUCUAGGAGCGUAAAGCCUCUAAAUCAUUUCUCUCUUCAAAACACACAAUGGUUUUCUGCUGAGCACAAAAUAGGCCGUAACUCUGCAUCCUGGUGUUUAAGGUUUAAAAGAUGGAAAUUACUGGAUUGAGGCAUUAUUAUCCAAACUAGCUUUGGAAUAUAGCCACAUAUUAAUUGGUUCUCUCAAUAAUCUAUUUAAUCACUCAAAAUACAUUCAUUGAAUGUCUCCAAUGUGUCAGUUACUGUGUGAAAUACUAGGGAACAGAGUCAAUGAAGCACAGUCUCUGCCUUCAAAGACUGGCCUCCAGGUGAGCAUGGAGGGCAGAAAUACAGGGGGAAGCCAUCCCACAGGGUGACCGUUGUUAUGACGUAGGUGUGCACAGGAAGUGACAGGAGACAAAUGGAGAAUAUCUAGCAAACCACAGCAGCAUGUGAGAGGGAGCCUGGCCAGGGCCAGAGGUUUGAGGUACAGAAAGGGGGCACCAGUAACCCCAGCUACUCAGGAGGCUGAGACAAAGACGGCAAGUUUGAGGCCAACCUGCCCAACUUAGCAAGACCCUGUCUCAAAAGAAAACAAAACUAAAAGGGCAGUGGUAGAUUGCUUGCUGAGCAUGUAUGAGACGCUGAGUUCAAUUUCCAGUACAGAAAAAAAAAAGAAAGAAAUAAAAAGAAAACAGCAGGGAGCAGGGUGUCAGGUGGGAAGCUGGAUAUUUCUGAGCAGCUAGGUUAUGACAUUUGUAAAACACAGAGGCCGGAGGAUUCUGGAAUGUUUGAGAACGACUUCAUCGUGGCUAGAAUUCAGGACACUAAAGGGACCUGAUAAGAGGAGAAACCCAGGAACACUCUCAGAUAUACAACAUAAAGGCUGCAGCGUGUACGUUGGGUGUCUGAACUCGGUGGUGAAGGUAACAACCAACCAUGCCAUGGCCCCAGCACACAAGCGCUCGUCGGGCUCCUGACACCAAAAUAUUCCAUAGCAAUAUGGAAAUUAAUCUCAGGAGAGGGAUGCUGAAGAAAGAUGGAGAAAUUGAGAUGCUUUCAACUAUAGGAAAGAAACUAAGUCUUGACAAUUCCACUAAGGAUGGAAGAAAGAGGGCUACCUUUCCCUUAGCCCUGGCUCUCGGCAGCCACUGGACCCCUGCACUGCUGAUGGCUUGGGUGCCAAGUAGCUGCUCAGUCCACUCCACUCCAGAGGACACAAGUGCAUCUUUUGUGACUCCCCACUCCUUUCACUACCAAAGUCCCUAAGCCUUAACAUAUAUCAUCUGCACCGCAUUCCUGCCAAGCUUUAACAGGUAAUAAAGGAGGACCGGUGCGAUUUAUAGGACUAACAUAGACUGCUUAGGCACUCCCAUUGCAAGCCUCAAAUCAUCUGACCCCUCCUCCUGCCUACUGAAUUGUGUUAUGAGCAAGCUGUGGUACAGUAUCUCAGAACACUAAUCCCUAUCCCCACAUCAGUCGUGAAAAUAUUAAAUUGAGAAAAAGGUUGGUUUGGGGGUGAGUAGAAGAAAUCACUCAGUUAGAAAGACAGCAGCAAUUGAAGGAACCCAAAACUUUGAGUUAUUUAAUUCCUUAGAGGAAUAAGAAGACCAUCUGUAACUUUUAAAAAUAAAAAGCAUUUUGAACCCAUCACUCAAAUACCAUAGCAAGUCGUACACUAAGUUUAGCAAAAGUAAUUAAUUAAGAAAUCUGUUAGAUGUUGGAAGCUUAUUUUGAAAUAAUAUCAUUAUUUUAUUAUUCUUAAAGGAUAUUGGGAAUCUGAAGUCCAUUUAGAAGUAGGAAUAUAUAUAUAUAUAUAUAUAUAUAUAUAUAUAUAUAUAUAUACUUAUGUGUGUGUAGACAUAUAUGUAUAUGUGCACACACACACACAUACACACACACAUACACACAUACACACACAUACCCAUCAAUUCAGUACUUUACCAGAUAGGACUGGUAUUUGAAAAUGUGUAAUCUUGUAUUGCAGUUGCAUCUAAGGAACUAAGGAGAUACAACUAAGGAUUUCUGAAACCUCAAGUAAAAAGCACAGGUAGACUGGGCUUAGUGACCCAAAGCUGUAAUCCCAGCUACUCAGGAGGUUGAGGCAGGAGGAUCAUGAGUUCAAAGCUAGCUUCAGCAACUUAGCAAGUCCCUAAGCAACUCGGAAGACCCUGUCUCUAAAUAUAUUUAUUACAAAGGGCUGAGGAUUUGGUUCAGUGGCUUAACGCCCCUGGGUUUACUCCCUGGUACUAAAAAGAAUGAAACACGAAAGUGUACCAAUAAAGAAAAAUAAAAUAAAAAACACAAGUACCAGAGAGGUCAUGAACUUCAACUCUUUGUCACCUUUCCACAUGGAAUGUAUAAUUUUAUUCUGAACAACAAAACUUUCCCUCCAUAUUUUCUUGUCAUCAACAGUGAUCUAAGUGCACGUGCACUCUAAUCAACAUAAGUGGUGAGAACAUCAAAUAUGUGGGCUAGAGUCACCUGUGCCUGAGGGCAUGGCACUUGGGUAAGUCCAUGACAGGUGGCUGGACCAAGGAUAGAGCAUUUGUACACUUCCAGGUUAAGACUGGAGGGGUAUUCCUCUGAUAAAGACAGGCACAGGAAAAUGGUGCAGACGUCAGAUAGGCACCUUUUCCACGUCAGAGCUUUAAGCACGAGUCACUCUCCACACUCCCAACUAUGGAUCUAACUUAGAACUUUGCAUUUUGUUUGAUAAUAUGUCUCCUUUCACUUUUUUAUAUUUUCGUUUCUGAAAAGCAUAUCAGAAUCAGAUAGAGGUUGGCAAACUUCCCUGGACAGUUAGCAGGACUCUGCUCAGUCUCCCUUCUACCUGUCUCAGGUAUACGAUCAGAUCAUUUGCCUUAUAUAAUAGACAGAAUGGGCACUCGUAACUGUGAGUUGAAUAAAUGUAUCAAUUAACACAUUAAGUAAUUAAAUUUUUGGCAAAGUGAGAAAGUGUAAAAAUGUAAAUGAAAAUAAGAUAGAAAGAUAGUUAUUUCAUUCCAAGAAGACCCUUCAGCAGUUCAUGGGGUCAACUUGAAGACUUAUCCUACACAUAAGUUCUAAAAUGCAUUGACUGAUUUCCUCAAAGCUGAUCAUAGAGUCUGGAGUCUCAGAUUAUGGAUAUAGUAUGUAAUAUCCUUGUGAUUUCUGCCAUCUUUGGCUAGUCCUGUUGGGGAAGAGCCUCUUUUACAGAAUGGUUUUUCCAGUCUUUGUCCAAAAUUUCACUUAUAUGCUUCUUUGAGUCUAAAAGACUCACUAAAUGAUCAUCACAGACAUGGUCACUCACGGCAGAGUUCCCGAUGGCAGAAGUUCCUUCCACUCUCCAGAUGUUUUUGAGUGAGUUUAUAGUUCACCUUUCCCAUAAGACAUUCCCAUGAGAGGGAGGGCGUCCUAGACUUUGGGUCUUUGAGACACAAAGAUGGCCACUGUGGGACUAUCCAGCUUCUACUCAUGUAAGCCAAACUAAUAAAUCCCCUUUUUAUAAUUAUAUAUAAUACCCACAUAUACGAUGGUCUUGGUGAUUCUGUUCCUCUAUAGACCCUGAUAUACCAAUCAUUAUCAUUAACUCUAAAAAUUUUAAAAGCCACGUUAUCUUCACGGUGACUCCCUAGAAUGAUUGUAUCUGAUACUCAGCACCUUCCUGCACACAUGCCAUGGCUUCCUGGCCCCUCUAAGGGGAGAUGAAGCUCUCACAAGGCUCUAAAUGAAACACCUAAUGGCAGAGCCGGUCUGCUGGCUGCUGUCCAGUGCUCCUGCUCUUCAGCAUGUUUUUGCCAUCACCCAAGGAAGAAAAGCACCUCAUCUCCCGAAUGGUCCGUGGACAUCUGGGAGGCUGAAAGCACUGCAGAAAGCCUGGAAGAAGCACAGCAGAAGCCCCAGAAUGAGAUAGAAUAGGCCCAUGUCCACAGCAGGGAGGGCCACUGCAGAUCCUCUAACUGAUCAUUUGUGCACAUUUUCCUCAAGGGCAACUCAUUGCUCAAGUGGAGGCCUCCUGCCGGGGUCACAGGUGAUCCAAAAUGAACAUCUUUAAUGAGACUGACCCCCUGGUGGGAACACCAGACAGCAAUGGAGCCAAAGCAGGAAAAUACUGCAUGCAUGUGAACUCUCAAUUCUCAGAGCAUCCCAGUGUGGCAGUCCUGUCAGAGUCUCCUUCUCUAGAUGAGGAAACAAGAACAAAAAACUAAGCACGUGCUCAACAUCAUAUAUUGUGUAAUUGGCAGAGUCCCGCAGAAUUCUUCCACUCGCUUCUUUUAUUUCUGAAAAAAAAAAAAAAAAAAAACCCUCCAAAUAGAAUCACAGCUGCAAGAUGCUAUGUAUUGGGUUUGUGUGAUUCAGAAUUUGCCAUCACAAUUGUUCACUCUAGUUUUGUUUGUUUGGUUUUUAAUUUUAUGGGUUUUUCAAACAUAGCCUGAUGGUGUCUAGGAAAAGAAUUCCUAGAGUGUUUUUUUUUACUAUGUUCAAUAAGCAUUAUAAGUAAAAAAAAAUUAAAUGUUAAAAUUUUUAAUUUAUUAUAAUUGAAAUCUCUACUUAUUAAACAAAAUAUUACAAAAGUAGGUAUUGCAAGACUAAGUUCCUCUGACACUCUCAUGUGCUUUGUCCAAGGUCCUUAACAACACUGAAGCGGACUGAGUUCAGAACUUUGGGGUGCUCAUGCGUGUCUCAGGAGCUAACUCUUACUUGGAUAUGAAAGGUCCAUGUCUAAGCUGCUGAGACUGUCAUGUGUACCAGAUUUCCUCACUGGGCUAACGCAGUGCUUUGGAGGGUCUGAGUUUAUUAAUGCUUCAGUUACAAGUAAGGAAAUACAAAGAUAAAGGAACCCAACGUGGCCAGGCCCUGAGGAAGGCACGGCCCAGAGAAAGUGGUGAAAGGAGAGUCGAAGUGCGUGUCCCGGGAGAAAGCUCCUCCACAUUUUGAAGAUUUGUAAGUGACUCUGAAAAUCAAAUUGUGACUUUGAAGUUGAGAAGGAAUUUUUAAUUUGACAGCAACUGUAGCAAGUGAUGGAGGUCAGAGAGCCCAGGUUUGAGCAGGGGACAGGAACAGGUAGAAUGGGCAUCAGAGGUAGAGAAGCAAUCAGGAAUCAAACUGUCAACCCAACUAAACAAUUUGGGAAGUGCGGAGACCCAAGUUAGACACAGACUGUGAAGAAGGAGUUAUCAAAGAGAAGCUAUGGAUUUUUUUUUUCAGGCCUUCUUUUUUGAAAAAAAAAAAUUUAGUUGUAGAUGGACACAAUACCUUUAUUUAUUUAUUUUUGGCGCCGUGCUGAGGAUCGAACCCAGUGCCUCACACUUGCAAGGCAAGUGCUCUACCACUGAGCUCCAACCCCUGCCCUCAGGCCUUCUUUUUGAUAAUUCCUUCUUGAGAUGUGUACAGGUAAAUAAAAACUAUUAAAGCCUUACAUGACUGUCACCCCUAUUAGACCUAUUUUAGGUAUACUUCUGCUACUUUUUUAACCUCUUAAUAAAGUUUGUAUCUUCCAGACUGCAGUACUUGCAUUGGUAAGAUGAAGGUAAGGCAAAGAUCCCAACCCAUAUCAACUGAGAUACAGGUGAUCAGGCAGGCAGAGGCUUCAUUUCCCUGGCUAAGCAAGGUCAUUGCUCCUUGCCAGCUUGAGCAGCCAUGAAAGAUGGAUCUUUUCCCUUCAUCAAUCCUUAGGAAUAAGAGAUUGCAAGUCUUGGGGGCUGGGAAAUGAGAUAGGAACUUGGGAAAACAGAAAAAGAAAGAUAGUAGACUGAGUCUCAAAAGAGAAGCUCUUGUAAGUCAUUGGAAUGCAGAAAUGGAUCUUGGAAAUGCAAAGCAAGCAUUCCUCAGCAACCCAGUCCAAGUCCUUACCCUCCACCCAUGGCCAGUGCCCUGGACCCAUGUCUUUGCAUGCAAAAUGUAAUGUGUUAAUACGUAGGCAAAGGGAAAAAGAAGAACUUUCAGAUAGAGCCCCUAUGGCAGGUUUAAACUUGCUGGAACAAUUGGAUCCUAUUGAACUUAAUUCUUCCCUAUAGGUUAGAGAACGCAGCACUCUAUAGUUAUAUAAAUUAUAACUAACAUUCAUCUAAAGAAAAUUUGUUUGAAACAUGUGAGAUCAUAAGUAUUAAUUGAUGGGUAAAGAUGUUAUGUUGCAAGGCAUUGAGAAAAUUAUAUAAACUACCUGAAGAGAUAAGGUUAGGGGGAAAAAAGACCUUGGUGAAGCAGCAUCAAUUUGAGGGAAAGUAACAGAACAUAUAAUAUAUUCAGGUGAAAAUAGAAUCCACAUUAAGAGUGAUAUCAGUUGUAAUGUCUUCUUAAACAUCUUUUACCUCAGGAUUUCUCCCUUAUUCCUGCUUUUCUAGGAGGUUGCAUCAUGGAUGAAUGUUGACCUUUUUCAAAUAGUUUUUUUUUUCUGCAUCAAUUGAGAAAAUCAUAUUGCUUUUUCCUUUAUUCUGUUAACAUGAUGAAUUAUAUUAAAUCUCAAAAUUCAAACCAACCUUGCAUUCCUGUAAUAAGCCCUUCUGAUCUUGUUUUAUUAUCUGAUAUAUAUGACUUAGAUUUAUCAUUUUAUUGAACUUUUAAAGCCAUAUUUGUAAAGAAUAUUUGCCUUUUGUGUAUCCACUCCCUUUUGUUCCUUUUAUUUCACAAUGUCCAUGCAGCAUUUUAUCAUCAGUGAAAAGAGACUCCUAGUAUGAAUCAAAGGUUUUCAUUGUUCUCCAUUUUCUGAGUUUUUGAAAAGAUAGAACAGUUUUUCUUCCUCAGAGGUUUGAUAGAAUUCACCUGCUAAGCCAUCUGAACCUCAGAAUUUUUUGUACAAACAUUUUCUUUGUGGAUUAUCAAUUGAUGUAUUUCUACAUUAAUACAAUUGAACUUAAGUUUUUCAUUUUAUUAUUAGUUAUUCAUGAUUUAGUUCCUGUGUUUUCCCUCCUUUCAGAGUUUGGAAUUGAACACUUUUACAAUUUCAUUUUAAUUUAUCUACUUUUUAAACUAUACUUUUUAUAUGUUGAUUAUUGCUCUAGUAUGUAAUAUGCAUAUUAAUAUCUAUAAUAUGUGACAUUAUUUAUUUCCUACUCCAGAGUCAGAUUAUAGUUAACAUUGUAACACUUUCUGCAAAACAUAGAAACUUUUCAAUCAUAUAUGUCACACAGGUCCAAUCUCCUCCAUUAUAUCAUAGUUGAAAAAUAUUAUGAGGUUCCUGGUAGGCAUAAGCUUGAGAAAUAAAGAAUACAUUGUGUAUAUGUUACUGUAUCGAUUUUCAGAGAAUUGGUGGUAAUUCCUCCAUUUGACAGAUUCGGGGAGGUAAGCUGAUUUGCCCAACACAAUGUGGUUAGCUACUUGUUGUUGAUGACUCUGAAUCCAACCAUUACCAAGGUUUAAUAUUUGAUAAAAUGCUACAGAAGCAGUAUCUCCUCUGUCAUAAUAGGAAGUGAAGAAUAAAUAAGAAUUCGAACUGUCCAGAGGUGGAGAGAACAGUAAAACAAGGACUACAUCUGCCCACUUGAAUUUCACAAAAUUGUCACAAUAAAACAACAGGGAAUAUAGAUGGUGCCAACUUUCUUUUGCACCUGUGGAAGUGGAAUGUAUUAUUGAAGAAGCAGGGAUACGAAGAAGCAGAAUGGAUCACGGGGAGCACUCUGUCAAGAAGCAAAGUUUCCAAUUGGGUUGCAGCAGCUCCUGAAGCUGCUAAGGCUGAACCUCCUGAGGUUACAAAGUCAGACACAAACAGGGUGAGGAAAGCCAAGUCCCCGGUGUCAUAUAGGACCUCAUGGUCUCAAGGCCUGGCUCCUUCGCAGUCUACCAUUUCUCCGGUAGAUUCUUGGCUGGGCCUCUUGGAGGAUCCUUUCCUGGGCAUCUUUGUUAGCCCUAAAGUAUGAGUUCUGGAAACUCCUGGCUGUGGAGGUUUCUUCUGCCUCUGCUCUCGUGAAAUUGUACUGAGAGUUCACUGGGUAAAUCAUGUGAAUGGAAGCCCUUUGGGAAAGAGAGGAAGUAGAAGAAUAAUCCAAGAGGGUGUCAAGAUGGAUAGAAGGGAGGCCUGAAGUUGAAGACCAGCUGGAAGACAGCUGGGAAAUACAAAGAACUGAUGACCAUCUAUGGAGGAUGCCCUGCAUCUCGGGUGUUCUGUUGAGAUCUUAAUACUAUUACCCAUUGAAAAUCAUGCAAGAAGUGAAGGAAGUGCUCGCUUCGGCAGCACAUAUACUAAAAUUGGAACGAUACAGAGAAGAUUAGCAUGGCCCCUGCGCAAGGAUGACACGCAAAUUCGUGAAGCGUUCCAUAUUUUUCAGACACUAGUAUGGCAAUUUGUAAAUCAAUGGAUGUGUAACUGAUGUGAAUCUGCAAUCUGUGUAUGGGGUGAAGGUGGGAGUUCAUAACCCACUUGAAUCAAAGUGUGGAAUAUGAUAUGUCAAGAAAUUUGUAAUGUUUUGAACAACCCACAAUAAAAAAUUAAAAAAAAAAAAAAGAAGUGAAGGAAAACAGAUUUUAAACAGGGGCAUUACUCGCCAGAUUUUUUCUUCUUAGCCAAAAUAACGUGGUAUUUCUAAAAUACGAGUUGGAUCAUUUUAUUUCUGUGUUUGGAGUUCUCUAUGCUCAUAAAAACUCAGCCUUCUUGUAAUGACACAGAAAUUCAUGAUCAAUUCACUCCAGAACAUAGAACGAGACAUCAUCUAUGAUGGCUAAGUCUACUCAUGAUUUUAAAAAAAGAAUUAAAAGAAUAAAUCACUUUAAGUGAACAAUAAACUAUUAACUCUC